AAUCAGUUCUCCCCAUCUCUCUGAAAAGAUUUCGAUGAUUGCCAGCCAGGAAACGUGUUGAAAAUAUGCCCAGUGGGUUGCCAGCCAACAAGAUUCAAAGCCUGUCUGCCCUGUUUCCCACACCCUGCCGCAGCCCUGGCAAGCCCCAUAGUUCUGUUUGCAGUGUGAGCACUUUUAUGUCAGGGGAGUGAUUCUUAUCAGUAGCGUUCCAUGUACCCACCCACCAGUUGCCUGGCACGUCCCACCAGCUGCCCCACAUGUCCCACCAGCUGCCCUUCUCCGUUGGCUCUAUACAAUGCUCUCUCCCAGAGAGGGCUGUUGUUACUGUUUCGUUUAUUUGAGACAGUCUGGCCUGGAGUUCACUCUGCAAACUCAUCAGCCUCAAACUCACACCAAUCCUCCUGCUACAGGCUCCCAUAUGCUUUGGAGGAACAACUUAUUAAGCAAGCCUAUGCCUUCCUGGGGGAGAAGAGCCUGACUCGGGAGUAGAGAAAAGGACUGAGUGUGCUGACAGGAAGUGACAAGAGUCCUGAAGUCUGUAACAGUGUGACAGGGAGAACUGAUAAGAACCGGUCAGGGAAGGUAGUGGAGGGUCUGUGCAAGCUUAGGCCCUAGCUCUGGGGCUACCUUGAAGGGCCACCCUAACGGCAAGUUCCCAGAAAGACAUUCCUCAGAGAAGUUGGGUGGCUGGUUUGGGCUUCAUGCGGAAAAUCCUGGAGUUACGUAGCCAUGGUAACGCGCAUGGAAACCAGUGCUUUCUGGCUCAUGCCUGAUCCAACACACUCAGCUCUGCACAGCCAGCAGGGUUAGGGGAGCCUGCGCGCUGCCCUAGUUAGAAUGCCUUUGUAGCAGAUGUAUUUAUUAUUGUGUGUGUGACUGAGCAUCUGGUCGACGCAUGAGCCUGUGCACACGCGUCACUGCCUGGAAGUGGAGGUCAGAGGACAAGCUGUGGGAGCCGGUUCUCUCUUCCCACAGGUGAGGCUCUUGGCCCCCAAGGUCUGCGUUUCAUGAGUUUUUUUUUUUUUUUUUUGGUCAUAUGUUUGAGUCAUUGUACUUCCAUCUAGUCACCGCUUCUUCCUGCCACCCCCUAUGCUCCAAACCUCUUUACCUCAGACCAUGUCUCUCCACCCUUCACAUCUAGAAGCUAACACUGCACAGGGAUGGCCUCCAUAACACCUGCCUGGUGUUUCUCAGGGCCCAGACUCACACUCCAGUGGGAAAACCCAAACUGGUGCCUGUGAAGUAAGUUUGUCUCUGAUGCUACCAACUAUAGUAGGUCAAGAAGCUCCAACAGGGCCGGGGCCACCCCUUCAAAUGUGGCAGGAAGGUCAUUCAGAGUGAGAUGAGAAGCCACCCAAUGUGUGCUGUCUGUCCUGUCUCUCUGUUCAACUAAGUGUCCUUGCUGCCUGCUUCCUCCAGUCUUCCCAGGUGCCCUUCUCAGUACAUAGGUCUCGCCCAGCUAUCAUCCACUAAAGUGCCAGCAACCACUUUAGCUAACAGGACAAUUGACUCCUCAGUCCUAUUUGAUAGGCUGAGCUGUGCCCUCCUUCAUUCAUGUUGAAGACCUAAUUCUCGGUACCUUUCGAUGUGACUGUAUUUGGAAGUGGGGGCCUUUAAGGAACUGAGAAGUACACAUGGGAUCACUGGGGUGAGCCCUGAUCCGGUAUUGUGACUGUUGGUCUUCCAUGAAGAGAGGACUGGGACAUGGAGAUCUAUAGAGGAAAAACCAUAUGCGGAAUAUGGACAGAACUCGGUCAUUUCCAAGCCAAGGAGAGAGACCAAAGAAGAAACUAACUCUCACAUA